UUGCUUUCUUUGCUGGCGACCGGCGCACGGGUGAGUAACACGUAUCCAACCCGCCCUUUACUCGGGGAUAGCCUUUCGAAAGAAAGAUUAAUACCCGAUAGUAUAAUGAUUCCGCAUGGUUUCAUUAUUAAAGGAUUCCGGUAAAGGAUGGGGAUGCGUUCCAUUAGGUUGUUGGUGAGGUAACGGCUCACCAAGCCUUCGAUGGAUAGGGGUUCUGAGAGGAAGGUCCCCCACAUUGGAACUGAGACACGGUCCAA
rnacentral:rRNA from 1 species